UUGUCUACUCGUCAGAUCAAAAGCUUCCAAAACAUUUCCCCCAGAUUUCUCUCUCUGCAUUUUCAAAUUUCUCUCAACUUUUCCUCUCAUCUGCGUUCUCUCCUGAGUGGUGUAGAUGAAUCGAAGAUAACAAUCAAAGGGAAGAUGACGAUCGACGUUAAAUUGAAGGUUCAGUAGGUCUGGCCGGUCUUUCGUCACCCUUGGAGAGUUGUUCAUCUCUCUUGGUCGUGUUUUGGCCAUCCGAGAAGCAGUGGUCUAUUAGCCUUCAAUGGGUGCUGAAGAGAUCUAGGGCUUGAUGGUGCUUUUGUAGAGAAACUGACUAGCAAUAUGUGGAAAACGACACCAAUCUGUGUUUUUGGGUGGUGUUUUGAUGCUACAAAAAGCAGAAUUUUGAGACCUUAAGAAGCUGUAGCGUUGUUUGCGAAUCUUUAUUAUAACUAUUUAUAUCGAGAAAUUAAAGAUUACAAGUAAAGGUCAACUACCGACAUCUAUUUUGAAAUCACGGGCUGCGACUUUUCUAGAAUGUGCUCGUGUUGUGAUACCGUGCAAGACGGAGUUGUAGCUGACCCUGGUAAUACUGGAAUUCAUAUCAACAAGGGCUUAUUGGCUCUGUUGUUUCAGGAAUUCAUAUCACCACCACCACCGCCACUCCCACCACAGACGCUUCAACGUCGUCCGGCGCCCUACAUUCAACCGACACACCCGCAGCCGCCAUCCAACGUUGGGCCUUUGUUAUCUCACAACGCUACCAACACCUGUUGGACAAGUCAACUCUGUUCUUGCUCUACCGUUAGAUCGUCUUCUGCGUGAUCGCGAUCAUCUACACUGCACGCGUGCUCCACUUGCAAGGGUUAUAUGUGGUGUCGUACGCGCUUGGGAUUUAUAUUCUUAUGCGCUUGGGAUUUAUAUUCUUAGUCUCCUCAUAGGGUUUCUGUCUCCUCAGGUUGAUCCCGAGUUUCAAGACCUAUCUGAUGGCCCGGUUCUUCCUAAUCGGAGCUCCGAUGAGUUUUGCCCCUUUGUUCGUCGCCUUCCCGAGUUUAAGUUUUGACUUUGAUAUGCAGGGGCUAUUUAAAAGUUUUGUUAGAGAAGAUGACAAGCUAAGGAAUCUAUGUCGCUUAGUUCGUCUCGUGGUUUGACCGAUCCGUUGACUGAAGAUGAAUCUAUGUCACUUAGUUCGUCUCGUGGUUGGCCUUCGUCUGCUUAUUUUAUUCAAGGUUAUAUUUUAGGAGCUGGUAAAUCAUAUUAUGCCGCAACACUCCUCGGUUUAAUUGCCCACAUGUCUUUUUUUUUCAGGUAAAGAAGAUUCCUUGCAAACAUCCGUCUCUCUUUAGUGACUAAAUGUUGUUAAAAUAUGUCUAUAAUACCCAACAGUAAAGAAAAGGUGUGCAAUAACUUUGUAAUUUGUAAUGAUGACGCUUGGUAAAUUCAUAAUUUUUGUUUGUAAAACAUUCAAGAAAAUGAGACAUUAAGCAUCAUGGAAUCUUUUGCAAUAUAGAUUUUGCAUUUGCAGAUGCAUUAGAGGCAUUUGGUGGUGGCCAACAUGAUCCUGUGAGCUCAUCUAUUGGAGGUUUGUUAAUGGUUACCCACGUUGCUUUAGUGGACCCUUUUACCAAAUACAUGUUCUUUAUCAAAUAAUCGGUUUGAUACUGGCUGAAACAGGACUGACAUGCACUUGGUUUUUAAUGAAAACAAUUUUUUUGAUAAGUGUCUGAAUGAUAAAAAGCUAACAUUUUUAAUAUGUAUCGAACCUUUUUGUUAUCACAAGUUUAUUAAUAACUUAAACCAUAUAUAUGGAAAGUCAAAGUCAUCACUUUAAGUAGUAAUUUAACUUUGACACCUUUGUGCAACUUUUCUGCACCUGCCCAAAUUAUGGGAUCAAUAUUCUGCUUAGGGUGAUCGGGGCACUUUCGGUGACCCCGUGCGGGAACCUCCUUACCGAUUAGAGGGGGUGCCGCCAUCAAGGCGGUGAGGUAUUUGGGGGACCAAAUUCGGUGGGAAGUCACCGAAGAGAGGGAGGAGAGAGGGAGGAGAUGGGCCAAUCAAAAAUUUUCUUUCUUUUUUUUUUUUAAUAAAAAACCAAGUCAUCUAAGAGGGGAGUGCCGCCAUCAAUUUAGGGUGUUAGGGGAGUUUAAGAGGGGAGUUGACGUGGCACUCGAGGAUUGGUUAAGCGUAAGAGAGGGGACUCCCCUCUUAGGGGAGUGCCCCUUACACCCUUAUGAACAUUGGGCUAAAAUUGAAGUAAAUCCUUAUGCCAUAUCUUACAUUUCUUGGUACUGUUCAUCUUGUAAUAAUUUUUAGACUUUUAAAAGUUAUCUUUUAAUAUCAUAAAACUUAUCUUUUAUUAUUUAAAAAAGACAAAGUCAUAAAAUUAGAUCAUUUACUGUUAGUUAACUAUAUAAUAGUAAAAACAUGCCAGAGUCUAGACGCAAGCGUAGGCUCUCGGGGCAGGGCGAGGCGAGGUAAGGCACAACUUAAGUGCCUCAAACACACUCAGGUGCUGAAAAUGCUCUGCACUAGCCUGACUAACCCGUUUAUAUUUGUAACAUGCAGUUGUCCUUUGUGGGCGGAAGGUUUGUCAUUGCAAGUGAUGGCGUUUGGGUGCCUUAUCUGCAGAAACGACUUGAAAGUGCAGUCGUGGCAGUAGCCCGACAAAUUGUCAAUAGCCUAAGGGAUUAAGAGAUGGUACAACUUGCAUGAUGAUAUUCUACAUGAAGAAAAGAUGAAUACUCUUGUCUCUUUGACUAUCUUUUGUGUUUUUUUUUUAUGAAUUGAAGUUUGUUUUAUUUCAUGCCUUGUAAGGUGAAAUGUUCUAUUCAUCUUAGAUGUUGGCAUUUUGUUAUUGCUUGUCAUGUCAUGGGUCAAGGCUUUUAGUUUUGUACCAUGCCCUUCAUAUAAUGUCUCGCUGUUUUUUUGUAGCAGCGGGUUUUUUCUGGGUAUGCAAGUAAAAAUGUCAAAUGUGUUGGGGGUGGCAGGCUUUAGUAAGCUGGUUUGGGUUGAGGGCUGUAAUUUGAUAAACCAAAGAUCAAAGAUGUUCUAAAUAUUUAUUCAUGUUGAAGUUUAAGACA